GAGCCUCCGAGCGCCGGCCGCCCCAACAACUCCCGGCGGAGCCUCCGAGCGCCGGCCGCCCCAACAACUCCCGGCGGACUGCCCAGUAAAGACAUUAACACAGGCAACACACCUUCCGGGAAAAAGCAGCAGCGUGUGUAGAAAAGGAAGGAGGAGGAAAAAAGGGAGAUCAUCCUGGGUCAUGCAUACCAACUAGAAUGGGACAGACACAAUCUGUGACCACCAAAGCCCCUCACCUGAAUAAGCCUCCGUGGAUACCUGGAGCUUGGGCUACUGUGGAGAGAACUGCUGGCUGGGCCUGAGGAGGUGCUUCUUGCAGCCUUGCUGUGUGGAUGAAUUGAACUGGAGGGUGGGACCAAGACUGUCCUGUGCUCAUUACUGAUCCCUGCAGCUCUUGGGAAAAGCAAGCAGUGGGCAGUAACAGCAGCUGGCAGGGAGGAGAGGGGAGAGGCAGCUGAGAGAGACAGAUACAGGUCAGGAAUGCGGAGAGACUGCUGGAUGAAGCACCCACUUUUGCGGGAGCUGGGAUCUGACAUGGUGCUCUUGCAACACACUGCACAAACUGGGCUGCAGUGAUGUCUGCAGCCUGGCAUGCCCACUGGAGCUCUCUCAUCGGGAAUGGGACAUGCACUCCUCCUGCCCUCUUGCAUGGUUUCACCUGACUGUUCUGAAUGUAGCCUUGGUAUUACAAACAACAACAUUCAGAGAAAUAAUUACUCACCACACUCUGUGCCAUUUCUCAUUCCUCACACAAGUCGUGCACAGUCUGUAUCACGAUGCCUCUUUUGCAACGCGUGUUCUGCACUAACAGAAACUGCUGCCAGAAGAGGAAAAGCCAUGACAUUUUUUUGGGUAUGAAUACCCUCUCUCAUGUCUCCUGGCGAUAAACUGCUCCUGCCAUAUCCCCAGCCUGCUCUGUAGAUGGCAGUGUGCAGUUACUUUCUGC